UGUAUUCCAAAUUUAUCAAUAAAAUAGAAACAAUAUGAAUCAAAGAACAAACAAUGUAAUAAUACAGGGGAUGAAUAAAAAAAUUCAAAACAUGAGAUGAAUGUAAUCCAUAAAUUAGAGAAACCAUAUAAAAGAUAAAAAGGGAUUACUUACAGAUUGACGAAUCCUAAAUUAUCUGUUACCUGAAGAUUUGCAAUGGAAGUGAAUUUGUGAGAAAAAAACGCAUUAACUAAUCAUUAACCAUGGAAGUUAAUCUGUAACAAAGUGAAAACAAAGAGAAAACAAAAAUUGUUACCUAGUGGAGGAUUUGAUUGAGAAGAGAACUUAAUGAAAUCAAUGAGAAAGAAAGUGACGGCAGCGAAGGUGUUGGUGGUGGUGAAGAUAUCAGAGAGGAUGAGAGAGAG
rnacentral:lncRNA from 1 species